CGAAAUUCACCCUACUCCGAUACAACUUUCAUCUGAUCCAUGACCCUACUGCACAUGCAUGCUUUCAUUAUCUCCUCAUCAUAAUUAUAUUAACUUUCAUAACCAAAUACAUAUUGCAUAGGAUCAAGGCAUGAUUUAAAAAAAAAAAAAAAAAAGAAAGAGGAAAAGGGGGGAAACGGAUUUGCCUUGCACACUCCAAAAAAAAGAGCCUUUU
rnacentral:lncRNA from 1 species